rnacentral:sRNA from 1 species
UCCAUAGCUGCUAAGCGACCGACUAGUUU